rnacentral:rRNA from 1 species
AACGAACGCUGGCGGCAGGCUUAACACAUGCAAGUCGAGCGCCCCGCAAGGGGAGCGGCAGACGGGUGAGUAACGCGUGGGAAUCUACCCAUCUCUACGGAAUAACGCAUGGAAACGUGUGCUAAUACCGUAUACGUCCUUCGGGAGAAAGAUUUAUCGGAGAUGGAUGAGCCCGCGUUGGAUUAGCUAGUUGGUGGGGUAAAGGCCUACCAAGGCGACGAUCCAUAGCUGGUCUGAGAGGAUGAUCAGCCACACUGGGACUGAGACACGGCCCAGACUCCUACGUGAGGCAGCAGUGGGGAAAAUUGGACAAUGGGAGCAAGCCUGAUCCAGCCAUGCCGCGUGAGUGAUGAAGGCCCUAGGGGUGUAAAGCUCUUUCACCGGUGAAGAUAAUGACGGUAACCGGAGAAGAAGCCCCGGCUAACUUCGUGCCAGCCGCCGCCGUAAGAC